rnacentral:misc_RNA from 1 species
GGAACCCAGAUCUCCACUGGUGUCGACGGAGCCACGAAACCCGAAUCUCCGUGGGCGUCGUUGUCUUCUUCGAACCACAGAUCUGAGUUGCGUCUUCAGACCUGGUGGUGUCGGCUUCGGAUCUGGGUUGCGUCUACAGACGGGAUUGUCGGGGAUUUUGGAACAGACGGCAUCGUCGUCUGCCAAGUCUUGAACAGACGCGAAUCGACUGGAGUAGCAGAUCGAGAACGUGGGUCUUGGGUUCGCGAAUCGGCCAGAUCUGGAACGAGGAGCGAGCAAAACAACCAGAUCUGACCAGCGACCGGCGACGGACUGGCGAGUUGCGAACGGUGACUGGCGCGGCGGAGCUUAAGUCGACGGAGCGGCGGUGUUGGCGGUGGGGUCAGAUCGGCAGAGGGUUGACUUGAAAACCAUAUACUACAAA